UACAGAGGGUGCAAGCGUUAAUCGGAUUUACUGGGCGUAAAGGGCGCGUAGGUUGUUAUUUAAGUGAGAUGUGAAAUCCCCGGGCCUAACCUGGGAACUGCAUCUUAUACUGGGUAACUGGAGUGCAAUAGAGGGUAGUGGAAUUUCCGGUGUAGCGGUGAAAUGCGUAGAUAUCCGGAGGAACACCGGUGGCGAAGGCGGCUUCCUGGACCGACACUGACACUGAGGAGCGAAAGCCAGGGGAGCAAACGGG
rnacentral:rRNA from 1 species